AGCUUUGGUGAGGUAACGGCCCACCAAGGCGACGAUCGGUAGCCGGACUGAGAGGUUGAACGGCCACAUUGGGACUGAGACACGGCCCAGACUCCUACGGGAGGCAGCAGUGGGGAAUAUUGCACAAUGGGGGAAACCCUGAUGCAGCGACGCCGCGUGGAGGAAGAAGGUCUUCGGAUUGUAAACUCCUGUUGUUGAGGAAGAUAAUGACGGUACUCAACAAGGAAGUGACGGCUAACUACGUGCCAGCAGCCGCGGUAAAACGUAGGUCACAAGCGUUGUCCGGAAUUACUGGGUGUAAAGGGAGCGCAGGCGGGCGAUCAAGUUGGAAGUGAAAUCCAUGGGCUCAACCCAUGAACUGCUUUCAAAACUGGUCGUCUUGAGUAGUGCAGAGGUAGGCGGAAUUCCCGGUGUAGCGGUGGAAUGCGUAGAUAUCGGGAGGAACACCAGUGGCGAAGGCGGCCUACUGGGCACCAACUGACGCUGAGGCUCGAAAGUGUGGGUAGCAAACAGGAUUAGAUACCCUGGUAGUCCACACCGUAAACGAUGAUUACUAGGUGUUGGGAGAUUGACCCUCUCAGUGCCGCAGUUAACACAAUAAGUAAUCCACCUGGGGAGUACGACCGCAAGGUUGAAACUCAAAGGAAUUGACGGGGGCCCGCACAAGCAGUGGAGUAUGUGGUUUAAUUCGACGCAACGCGAAGAACCUUACCAAGUCUUGACAUCCCUUGACGAUGCUGGAAACAGUAUUUCUCUUCGGAGCAAGGAGACAGGUGGUGCAUGGUUGUCGUCAGCUCGUGUCGUGAGAUGUUGGGUUAAGUCCCGCAACGAGCGCGACCCUUAUGGUCAGUUACUACGCAAGAGGACUCUGGCCAGACUGCCGUUGACAAAACGGAGGAAGGUGGGGAUGACGUCAAAUCAUCAUGCCCUUUAUGACUUGGGCUACACACGUACUACAAUGGCGUUAAACAAAGAGAAGCAAGACCGCGAGGUGGAGCAAAACUCAGAAACAACGUCUCAGUUCGGACUGCAGGCUGCAACUCGCCUGCACGAAGUCGGAAUUGCUAGUAAUCGUGGAUCAGCAUGCCACGGUGAAUAGGUUCCCGGGCCUUGUACACACCGCCCGUCACACCAUGAGAGCCGGGGGGACCCGAAGUCGGUAGUCUAACCGCAAGGAGGACGCCGCCGAAGGUAAAACUGGUGAUUGGGGUGAAGUCGUAACAAGGUAGCCGUAGGAGUACCUGCGGCUG
rnacentral:rRNA from 1 species